GGUCCUUGCCCUCAAGGAGCUCACAGUCUAUUGAGUUGCCUUUCAGACUUUCCCACUAGAUUGUGAGCUCCUGGAGGGCAAGCACU
ensembl:miRNA